rnacentral:rRNA from 1 species
AGUGAACGCUGGCGGUAGGCCUAACACAUGCAAGUCGAACGGCAGCACAGUAAGAGCUUGCUCUUACGGGUGGCGAGUGGCGGACGGGUGAGGAAUACAUCGGAAUCUACCUUUUCGUGGGGGAUAACGUAGGGAAACUUACGCUAAUACCGCAUACGACCUACGGGUGAAAGUAGGGGAUCUUCGGACCUUGCGCGAUUGAAUGAGCCGAUGUCGGAUUAGCUAGUUGGCGGGGUAAAGGCCCACCAAGGCGACGAUCCGUAGCUGGUCUGAGAGGAUGAUCAGCCACACUGGAACUGAGACACGGUCCAGACUCCUACGGGAGGCAGCAGUGGGGAAUAUUGGACAAUGGGCGCAAGCCUGAUCCAGCCAUACCGCGUGGGUGAAGAAGGCCUUCGGGUUGUAAAGCCCUUUUGUUGGGAAAGAAAAGCAGCAGGUUAAUACCCCGCUGUUCUGACGGUACCCAAAGAAUAAGCACCGGCUAACUUCGUG